rnacentral:rRNA from 1 species
UACGUAGGGAGCGAGCGUUAUCCGGAUUUAUUGGGUGUAAAGGGUGCGUAGACGGGAAAAUAAGUUAGUUGUGAAAUCCCUCGGCUUAACUGAGGAACUGCAACUAAAACUGUUAUUCUUGAGUACUGGAGAGGAAAGUGGAAUUCCUAGUGUAGCGGUGAAAUGCGUAGAUAUUAGGAGGAACACCAGUGGCGAAGGCGACUUUCUGGACAGAAACUGACGUUGAGGCACGAAAGUGUGGGGAGCAAACAGG